ensembl:misc_RNA Metazoa_SRP Metazoan signal recognition particle RNA
GCUGGGCAUGGUGGCUCAUGCCUGUAAUCCCAACACUUUGGGAGCCUGAGGCGGGUGGAUCACCUGAGGUCAGGAGUUCGAGACCAGCCUGACCAACACGGUGAAACCCCGUCUCUA